rnacentral:rRNA from 1 species
GAUGAACGCUGGCGGCGUGCCUAAUACAUGCAAGUCGAGCGAACGGACGAGAAGCUUGCUUCUCUGAUGUUAGCGGCGGACGGGUGAGUAACACGUGGAUAACCUACCUAUAAGACUGGGAUAACUUCGGGAAACCGGAGCUAAUACCGGAUAAUAUUUUGAACCGCAUGGUUCAAAAGUGAAAGACGGUCUUGCUGUCACUUAUAGAUGGAUCCGCGCUGCAUUAGCUAGUUGGUAAGGUAACGGCUUACCAAGGCAACGAUGCAUAGCCGACCUGAGAGGGUGAUCGGCCACACUGGAACUGAGACACGGUCCAGACUCCUACGGGAGGCAGCAGUAGGGAAUCUUCCGCAAUGGGCGAAAGCCUGAGGAGCAACGCCGCGUGAGUGAUGAAGGUCUUCGGAUCGUAAAACUCUGUUAUUAGGGAAGAACAUAUGUGUAAGUAACUGUGCACAUCUUGACGGUACCUAAUCAGAAAGCCACGGCUAACUACGUG